AGUGAACGCUGGCGGUAGGCCUAACACAUGCAAGUCGAACGGCAGCACAGUAAGAGCUUGCUCUUACGGGUGGCGAGUGGCGGACGGGUGAGGAAUACAUCGGAAUCUACUUUUUCGUGGGGGAUAACGUAGGGUAACUUACGCUAAUACCGCAUACGACCUACGGGUGAAAGCAGGGGAUCUUCGGACCUUGCGCGAUUGAAUGAGCCGAUGUCGGAUUAGCUAGUUGGCGGGGUAAAGGCCCACCAAGGCGACGAUCCGUAGCUGGUCUGAGAGGAUGAUCAGCCACACUGGAACUGAGACACGGUCCAGACUCCUACGGGAGGCAGCAGUGGGGAAUAUUGGACAAUGGGCGCAAGCCUGAUCCAGCCAUACCGCGUGGGUGAAGAAGGCCUUCGGGUUGUAGAGCCCUUUUGUUGGGAAAGAAAAGCAGCAGGUUAAUACCCCGCUGUUCUGACGGUACCCAAAGAAUAAGCACCGGCUAACUUCGUG
rnacentral:rRNA from 1 species